AGCCUCGACUCAUGAUAGCCAGACGAGGGAUACCAAAGCUGCUGCAGCCCAACCUGUUUUCACCUUGGCUGUGUGACUUCCUGAGCUGCUGCCUGCAGACAGACAAGGAGCAGCGCUGGUCUGCCAAGGAGCUCCUGCAGCAUCCAUUUGUAAGAUUUGCUGAGCCUGCAUCCAGCCUGGUGCCACUGAUUGUUUCAGUGAAGAAGAGGAAUGACCAAAGAAACUGAAAAUCACAUCAGGACCAUUUACUUCUCAACCGGCACAGGGCAGGAUUGUAGGUUCGGACAAGGGUUAGGGUUAGGGUUAGAGUUGGGGUUAGGGUUAGGGUUGGG